rnacentral:rRNA from 1 species
GACGAACCGUGCGAACGUUGUUCGGAAUCACUGGGCUUAAAGGGCGCGUAGGCGGCUUGAUAAGCGUGCGGUGAAAGCCCGGGCUCAACCCCGGGUCGGCCGUGCGAACUGUCGAGCUGGAGCACUGUAGAGGCAGGUGGAAUUCCGGGUGUAGCGGUGGAAUGCGUAGAGAUCCGGAAGAACACCGGUGGCGAAGGCGGCCUGCUGGGCAGUGGCUGACGCUGAGGCGCGACAGCG